rnacentral:lncRNA from 1 species
AUUCCUAUAAAAUUCAACAUUUUAUUUUUAUCCUUACAAAAAUUUUAUCGUUUUCAAAUAUACUUCUACUGUUAGAAUCCGCUAGAAAAAUAUAGUUAAUCAUAAAUAAAAUACUUAACUCUGACUAGUGAAUGAGUUAAAUUGAUCUUUUUACCCAUGUUAUAUUAUUAUGUAAAAUAUUUUUUUAGGAGGACAUUUCUGUAUAAUUGGGACUUUUGGAGAAAUAUGUUUGUAAGGACAAAAAUAUUAUUUCACUUAUGUCACGUCCCGAAUUACAUAUUUUUUUGGACACGCCAACAGAUCCGCCGUAUAUAUAGAAAUUUUCUCUGUAUACGAAGCGAUAGCUGUACCUGUAAAC